GCAAGUCGGACGGCAGCAGGUCCUUCGGGAUGCUGGCGAGUGGCGGACGGGUGAGUAAUGCGUAGGAACCUAUCCUUUUGUGGGGGACAACCUAGGGAAACUUGGGCUAAUACCGCAUAAGCCCUGAGGGGGAAAGCGGGGGAUCUUCGGACCUCGUGCUGAAGGAGGGGCCUACGUCCGAUUAGCUAGUUGGUGGGGUAAAGGCCUACCAAGGCGACGAUCGGUAGCUGGUCUGAGAGGACGACCAGCCACACUGGGACUGAGACACGGCCCAGACUCCUACGGGAGGCAGCAGUGGGGAAUUUUUCGCAAUGGGGGCAACCCUGACGAAGCAAUGCCGCGUGGAUGAAGAAGGCCUUCGGGUUGUAAAGUCCUUUCGUGGGGGACGAAAAGGCGGAUCCGAAUACGGUCUGCUGUUGACGUGAACCCAAGAAGAAGCACCGGCUAACUCCGUGCCAGCAGCCGCGGUAAUACGGAGGGUGCGAGCGUUAAUCGGAAUUACUGGGCGUAAAGGGCGCGUAGGCGGUGGGUUACGUCUGCCGUGAAAUCCCCGGGCUCAACCUGGGAAUGGCGGUGGAAACGGGCUGACUGGAGUAUGGGAGAGGGUGAUGGAAUUCCAGGUGUAGCGGUGAAAUGCGUA
rnacentral:rRNA from 1 species